GCAGUGUUGGUUCAGUGGUAGAAUUCUUGCCUUCUAUGCAGGAGACCUGGGUUCGAUUCCUGGCCAGUGCA
rnacentral:tRNA from 1 species